UUAGAUACCCUAUUAUUAAAAAUGCGAAUAGUUAUGCUUGAGUAGUAGUAGUUAUGUUCUUGAAAUUCAAAAAAUCUGGCGGUAUUUUAGUCUAUUCAGAGGAACCUGUCCUAUAAUUGAUAAUCCACGAUUAAUUAUACUUAUUUUUAGUUUGUAUAUCGUCGUAGUUUGAAUGUUUUUAAAGAAAUUGUAAUAUUCAAGAUUUAUAUUAAAUUAAAGGAAAUCAGAUCAAGAUACAGCGUAUAGAUGAGAAGUGAUGGGUUACAAUAAAUUUAUUUAAAUGGUUAAAAUAAUUAAAAUUAUUUUAUAAAGUGGAUUUGAUAGUAAUAUAAUUUAUUUAAAUUAUAUGAUUUUAGCUCUAAAAUAUGUACAUAUCGCCCGUCGCUCCUUCUCUAAAGAUGGAUAAGUC
rnacentral:rRNA from 1 species